CUCGUAGGCGGCCAACUAAGUCAGACGUGAAAUCCCUCGGCUUAACCGGGGAACUGCAUCUGAUACUGGAUGGCUUGAGUUCGGGAGAGGGAUGUGGAAUUCCAGGUGUAGCGGUGAAAUGCGUAGAUAUCUGGAGGAACACCGGUGGCGAAGGCGGCAUCCUGGACCGACACUGACGCCGAGGAGCGAAAGCCAGGGAGCAAACG
rnacentral:rRNA from 1 species